CCCCACCCCUCCCAAGCUGGGACCGGGGACCAACGCUUCCACUCUGCGCCUCCUACGAGCUCUCCUCGGGCCUUUAUACGGCCGUUCUGGCGUCACGUGGAGCCCACCGCAGCCCCAGCGGGGACCGAGAGGGGCUCCCAGCCCUGCACGGGUCCCCUCGGGGAUGCUUUCGAGGAAAGGUGCUGCCCGCUCCCCCAAGCCUUCCUUCCCGCCUCCCCCUCUCCCCCCGCUCUACGGCUGCAGGGAGCCCUCUGCCCCCGGGCUGAGCCCUCAGACCUCCCGGUGUGUGUGUGUCGGGGGGGUAGGGGGGGGACGAAGGGAGUGAUUUUGGGGUCCCAGUCCUCCCUUUCUCCACUUGCUCACGUCACCGACACGUCACCGAGAGACAGCACCCUGCCUGGAAAGCCGCCUUCCCGAGGGCUCCCGCGGGGCCUCUGCCGCCCGGCAGGUGCAAGGAGCGGAGCUGGGACCUGUGGCGACUCAGCCCUCUUCCCAAAGCUGCAGAUCCGUGCCCCUUCCCAGGGCAAAGCGUUGUGGCCACCCGGGCGCGGGGCUGGUGACACAGACGAGACCACCGCAUUUUCCCCAUCUGUACUUCGAGCCGCGCUCACACGGGUUUUCCUUUCGAGCCUCUGCGUUCCCGAGGGCUCCCUCUCCCCCGGGAGGUGGGAUGCCGGUUUGAGAGGAAGGGGAUAGUGGAAAAAGGAUGUUCCAAAAUCCUUCGGGUACCACUUGGGAACCCGAGGGGUCCGGGAGCCGGUAACGGGCUGCUGCCCUGUUCCACCAACUGCAAUUUCAGUCCUCGCAUCCGGGGGGCUGGCGGUGCCCCCCUCCAAAAGCUGCGCUCAGCAGUGUGAGAAUCUGUGGUGAUGGAUUGCCGCUCUCUGCUGUUAACAGGUGCGAGCAUUUGGUGAUAAAAUCUCCAGCACUAAUACCGGGGAGCCGGGCCAAACAGCUGCGCGGCCCCGCUUCCAAAUGCCGCUCACAAUAAUUACUCAAAUCCUAACGAUCAAACCCUAACGACUCCGUGCAUCGGGCCGGUACCGGCUGGGUACCGCAUCCCAGCACGGAGCCGAGCGCAUCCUCCGCCCUCGCAGUCAGCGCUGCGCUCGGGAAGGAUUCAUCGAACGGAAGGAAAAGUCGGUGCAGAACGGGGCUGAGCGCUUCUCUCGAAGCUGCCAGAGAUUUCGACCACACACACAACGGGCGAUUGAAUUUCCACUCGGUGCGAUCCGAGGCAGAAAGGAACCGCCGGGAGCUGCGCGUUGUUACUCUGCAGGGGAGGGCUGUGAACGGCGAAACGAGAGGGGACGGCGGGCACGGAGAGCACCGGGCACAGUGGGCACCGGGCACCGGGAGCACCGGGCACAGUGGGCACCGCCGCGGCUCUCGGCUGCCCCCAAAGCGCCGCGCCCCGAGUUUGGCACCGCCCGCAAAAACGGCGGAGGAGCCCCGGUGCCUCUUCGCUUUUGUCACGCAAAAUCGACCGCGGAAACCAAAUUAAAACGAGAAAAAGUACCUAAAAAGCAGCCGUCUUGAAAUUAGGAAAGGGAAAGCCUGGGCUGAUAUGAAGCAGCCGCUGGGAUCCCGGGCACCCAGCCGACCCUACGGGCGCUCAUUGCUCCGAGUGCGGAACGCUGCGGUGUCCCGAAACAGCAACCCUACAGAUCGACCCCAAAAAGGUCGUCAGCACUGCACGGUCCCCACGCGUGCAGCGGUGGGAGUGAUGCCUUACGCCUUGUGCCUUCUUUUCCUUCGGCAGAUUAUUAAUUUUUUCUGCUCUCCUCUUUGAAAUAUUUUGUGACGGACGGCCCUUGCCGUCCCCUGUUUUAAUCCUAAUUCUCUCGCGUCUCACGUUAAGCUGUGCUAUCAGAAGCGCCUGGGGUCGAAAGCUGCCCGGUCCUUAAGUCUCAAUAGGGAAACUGGAACAGCCGAAACACUCCGAACUGCGUUUAUUGUCUCCUAUUAAUAGACUUUCACUGCCUUUCCCUCCUGCUCUAACGCAGCCCCCGUGGGCAGGUUGCUCCUCGCAGUGUCCCCUGGGCUGCCGGUCCCCCCUCCCGGGGUCAUCUCUGAACCCCCACCGGCUGCCAAACGGUUUUUUUUUACCCACGAGGCAAAGCUCGUUCCUUGCCUUCCCCCCCCUUCUAUUUGCCGGCUACAAGGAGACAAAUACAUCAGCGCGGCUGCGAGAAGUCCCCGUCCCGGCCGGAGCGGCCCCCCCAUAGUGGGAUUUAACGAAGCAAAGCCCUGAUCCUAUACUCUGCUUGGGAAGGGCAGCAUCGGGCCCCGCAGCCUCGCCCUGCUGUCUUGGGCAUUGCGGGGCUUCGGGUCCUUCCAGAGGGGCUGUUGGCUCUGCAAGACUUAAUCAUUGCUGUUUCCUCGGCAGGGCAACAUCCAAAUUCAUUUAUUUUGACGUGAAGAGCAUCUCCAAGUCCCCUAAGGCUCAGCGACGGAUUUUUCUGUAUUACCUCGUUAUCAGGCUUGGCUGACCUCUCACUUCUCUCAAAACAUGACCAAGACAGACCUGCUGCUGCCCGGGCUGCCCCAGGGGGCUCUUUUUCCACUUAUGUGAUUUCCUUUGAUAUUAUUUCUCUCCUUUCCAUAGCCAAGGCUCAGACCUUCGCUGCUCCCUGCAGCACAGCCAUUAUUCCCAGCCCCGUAACGUCGAGGUGAGGUGGCAGCUGCUCCCCAGCAGCUCCCAGCACGGGGAGAUGGGUGGGAAUGGCCAGGUGAUGCCAAGUGACCCCAAUUCCCACUUCAGGGAGCACUGAUGCCAAAAGCUUCCGUCCACCCCUGCAGCACUCAGAUGUUCACACACCUUUGUUACGUGCUGGGAUCUGAGUUUAGGACCUCGGCUUUGGACUUGGAGUUCAACAGCUUAAUCUGCUGCUCUUUUUUCAUUACUGAUCCCAUCCCACACGGACCUGAAGCCCACCAGGCAAGCUCGUAACACCCAACUGAUUAACUCUGACUUGGUGUAAGCUUUUCUUUGCACACCGUUCUUCAGCAAUCCGACAUGAAAAGGGAUGGAUACACAAACUUCCAUGACUCAGAGGAGCGCAGCGAUUUCGAGCCAUAAAGCACCAGGUGCACUUUUGAGACUCACCAAAUCCAGCUCUCCUGGUUGCCAUAAAAAGCACAUUAGCCAAAGGCUGAUGCAUGUGAAAGGUAAUUAUGCUCUGGCACAUGGCAGCACGCACAGAACAGCCUGGUGACGGUGCCUACCGCACAAGGAAAAAUAUCCCUGUGAAAACAAGCCUGCUAAAUCAUUUCAUUCUUCCCUCAAUCCCCUGAAAAUAGUAGGGAGGAUUUUUCUGGGGGGUGGGGAUCCAUAUGGGAAGGAAUCACAUUUCCCAAAAGUGGGCACACCAGUGCAAGACCAUAUGGACAGAUUCACAUGGCUGUAGUAAACUGUGAUGAGGUCUUGUAGUCCAGGUUUCUGUGUUAGCAUUUUGUCAUCCCAAAUGUGCCCAGGAAACUGAUUAUUAUUAUUAUUUUUCCUUCUUUCUGGAUGUUCUUUGUACAUGGGAGUAUCCAGCAGUCCUCAUACAGAGAUGAGGUUGGGACAAAUCUUGUACAAGGUCAGUCCUGCAAAUACGCACUGGUACCUACAGAUCUGCCUGCAAACAAGUUUGUAGAUACAUUUUGCUCUUGGCUUCAGAUAAGAUGACGUCAGCUGGCAACUAUAACACUGCUACUGCACAGGUUUGAUUUCCUCUAUUCCCAUGUUGGGAAGGAGCUGAAUAAACAGGGAAAAAGUCUGAAGUCUGCAAAGGGAGGUGAAGCAUCUCACCAGAGGCCAUGCAGAGCAGCAGAGCCCAGUAUCUUAACCCCAUCCCCUUAUCCAGCAAAUGACAGCCAGGCAGAAAGGAGGCUGUGCAGCUGGUGGACAUUUUAUCAGAUGCAAACAAGUGAAAAUACCAAGGCAGGAAGCACUGGAACAGGGCUGAAGCUGCACAGUGGUCAAACUCAGCUCCAGUGCUCCCAGCACACAGCUGUGGGUGACAAUGCCCCACUGUGUCCCCAACUCAUUAUAGUGUCACCCUACAGUCUGGCACUGCAGGGAGCAGUUCUCCAUUUUUAUAACAUAGGUGCACAAUAGGUAAAAUGAACACACAAGAAAUCCAUCCCUGGCAGCUCCAGAUCAUUGUGAACAUCCCCUGCGCUUUUCUUCACACCACCAAAAGAAAUUGCUGUCCUAAGCUGAACAGAGGAUGAGAGAGGGAAAGCUGUUAACAUGCAGAAGCUGCACUGAGGGCUGCUGAAGGAAGGCUGAUGCUUCACAUCUGGCUUUACGCUUCUUGAAAAGACCUGAUUUCUGCUCAGCAUCACCCAGCCAACCGCAUCCCACUAACCCACAGCCUAGAUGUCAACUUACAAUUGCGUUAGAAGAGGGCAGAAAGCAUCAGGGUAAAACAUCCCACUGAAAAUACAUCACUUGGGUCCAGCAGGGCAAUGGCUGAGCUGCAGGUGGGGAUGGGAGUGGGAUGAGGGUUAAAUGCUCUUUGUCCCCAGGACCAGCCGCAGGCUCAGGACCCCACUGCAGAGCAGGCUGUGGGCUGCCAGCAACACUUGCUGUGCAGAGAUAAGCGUGCCAUCUAGAGGAAAUCCCCUUCAUCACCAGGACUGGCAGCUGAAAAUUAUCCAAUAAAGGAUAAUUAACCCCUGGCUCCGGAGAAAAUCCUCCAGCCUGCUCUGAGGUGCUUGCACAGGCACGCUGUGAGGGGCUGGUGAUGUGCUGAGGUAUCACAGCAAGUGCUCCAGGGCCACAACUAGGAUGUCCACUUCCCCUGGCAUGGGCAUUUGGAUGGAAAGGUGGAGAAGGAAAUGUGUUCUUCCCACACCCCAUGCACCUGCCUGCCUCUGGGGGAGGUACAAAGUGGGCACAUAACACAGUGUCUGUAUCAUAUAAUGUGCUCCAGUGCAGCCAGCAGUGGUCCCAAACCCAAGAGUGAACAUGGUUGCUAUGGGCACUCUUGCCACCAGCAUCUCUGGAUCUGGGAGUUGCAAUGAGAGUCCAUGGGGGCAGCAGCAGCAUGGGUCUUGCACCCUCCUAUAGUCAGGGUCAGCCCCACCAAACACUUGUAUCCCAAGCACACAAAUCCAUCCAGCCCUAAAGAUAACUGAAAAACAGUGAUCUAGAUCCAAGCAUGGGGACAGAUGCUUCUGCCCACUGGGAGGCUGUCUUACGUAAAUGUGAAAAAGUAAAAAUAAAUUAAUUAUAAAAAAAAAGCAAUUUUGCCUUGCAAAACAUGUUCAGGGACAGAGAAGGAGCAGGGAAGGUCUCACAUGAGGGAAACCUUAUUCUGCAGGAAAAGCAGGUGCAUGCUCAUGCAAAAAGCACCUGGAGAGGAGGAGCUGUGUGGCACUGAGUUGCUCAUGUGCUGUUUCCUGCACCUUUCCUGCCUACACUGCUCCUGACCUCCCAAGUGUUGGUGCCCCCAUGCAGAGACAGAUUUGGGUGUCCCCUGGCUUGAAGUAGGUACCUCUGAGCACUGCAUCAUGCUGGAAGCUCGUGCACUUCAUAAGUCUUGUAUUUCCUAUCACUGCAGAGAGGAACCUCGUCGUAAUAAAAAUCUGGGCUCCAAUCCUACAAACACUUAUGCCUGAGCUUAACUCUAAGCACGUGAGCCGUCAAAGGGGACCAUUCAUGUGCUUAAAAUUUAAGCAUGUGCUUAAGCGUUUGCAAGCCUGGAGUCCAUCAGCGUGGGGAUUUGUGCACUAAGCCCAUAUUCUGAGUCAUUAUCCUUUUCAUGUCUUCUCCGGUAUUUCAGAAGAUGCUUCAAAGAGGAAUUUUCAAGUUCUUCAAUAAACUUUGCCUUCCCGAGCAGCCGGGAUUCCUGCCUAUUCUAUGGGGCAAUUCUCCUGCCCUGCAUCCCCUCCCCCUGUCCGCGAUAAUCCGGUGCUAUUUCAUGCUUGGCCAGACAAUUAAGCCCUCUUGCUGCUUGGCUCUGUCUUUGUUAUGUAUAAUUGUUCCAAAUAAUUAGCCACUAUUGCACGCUAUUCUGAAACGACUUUGUAUUGCAAUUAUACUUAGAUGGUGAGCAUCAGUUGAGGGAGAAUCCAAGCAGCAGACAGCCCAGAAAGACAGGGCUGGCUGAGAUGCUGCUUGGAGCUGCACUGUGGCGGUGGGUUCUUGUCCAGGUGUCACCUGGCUGCCACCUCGUGGGUGCUGCCCACAGUGCAGCAGGUAGAGCCGUGCUCGCUGCCAUCACCUCCAUUGGGAUAUUGCCAAGUGGAUGGGUUGGACAUCUCUGGGCAAAGAAGGCAAUGCACCGAAGCUUUGGGAUGUGUUUGGGCUCUGGGAGCUGAAUGUUCCCAAACUGGGUCUUUGGGUACUUCAAGGAUGGUGGAACGUAUGAUUCCCAGUGAGGAGAUGGGUCCAGCAGCCCUGUUUGCUAACCUGCAAAUGUGUGUCUGCUGUGGAUAAGUGCCAGAUGGGGUGCUCAGGAGUUACAUCUCCACGUGAGGCAUCUUUCUGAAAAUCAAAAUGACGUGGUGCAACAGUGUCACCUUAUUGAUACUCAAUCUCUUGUCUCUCAAGCUGGGGAUAUCUGAGAAGGACAUAACCAGAAACAUGGGUUGGUCUGAUCUGCACUGGUAAAUUAAUUCCUCUGACAUCAUACGCUGUUUCCUUCCAGCCAGCAGAGCUGAUGGAAACUGGAAAAGAGCAUUCCCAGGCGUUGUACAUAACCAGCUCAGGUGCACCUUUUCUCCAUGCAACAUGGGCCAGGGCUGCUUCUUGGUGUUGGGUGUUACAGGGUUACUUCAAUACAUGCAUAAAAGACCUAUUGCAGUGUUACAAUUUCUUAGUCUCAGUGACGAGACUGGGAAAUAAACAACUUUGACGCUCUCCCAGGAGCUUGCAGGUCCCCAUUCCCAGCCUGGAGGUUGCAUCCCACUUGCUGCUCUGAUAAAUAAUUCUGAGUGAAUCCCAUUCCCUCUGGUCUCCCCCAAGCCUCCGUGACACCCUGCUGUGUCUCGAUGAGGACAAAUGCUAGAAGGCCACACAAGGAGCACCCUCAGGUCCCCUUGCCCAGCAUGAGGCUGGUGAGGGGGAGCUCAGGGGCUCUGUAAGCCCUCCCUCCCCCCCGAGCCGGUCGGGAGCGGCUUCCCAGGGAUUUCCACUGGAGGUCAGUGUUGGCCCGAGCACGGGGGCUGUCACUCAGGGCCACCUCGUCCCUGUCCCGGGGUCGGCAUUGAUGGAGCCCCUGGAUGCGUUUGUAGAAGGGUUCUGGGGUGGGACAGCAGCGCCACAUUGGCUGCGGGAUGUGAUCUGGUCAUCGCGUCACACUUGUGGAGAGGCCAAAGUCAGGGUUGUGUGGUGUAUAAGGGAACCUAAAUAUGAGGGGGUAGAGGUGAUGAUUCAACCCCCUCCCCCCAAAGAUACAAUGCUCAGCCAGCCCUUGUUGCCUUACACCAAUUUACUCCAAGCUUUCAUCAGACAACAGAGUCCAUCUCUGCUGGUUGCACCACCACCCAUUGCCCACCACUGGCUGGAUUUAAAGGCUCAGACCUGACCUCUUCCUUUAAGAUGGAGAAAAUUUCGGCCCUCUCCAAGUGAUGUAUUCAUAAGGGAUAAAGCAUUGCAUAAAACAAAGUCAUUAAUGUCUAAAAUGUCCAUUCCUGGAGUUGGCAGUGGACAACUGGCAGCAUCCAGACAGAAUCAGACACUACUGGAGGACCAACAAGUCCUUCACGAAAUGUACUCCUGUUACAAUCCCAGCUAAUGCCCUGUUUGUUUGCACCCAAGUGCUCCCUGGGCUGUUGGGAUUUCUGAAGGGAAAACAACUCCUGGUUCCAAACAUAAGAGACGUAAAUCCACCCCAAUUUUUUAAGGGCUCCUCUGUGAGAAGCCACCUGCGAUGGCCCCAUCACCAAACCAAUCUCUUUGGCACCCUUGAUCCCAAAGGAUCACACUCACUGCACAAUAGCAGAGAGCAAAGAAAGUUUUGCCUCUGGCUUUUUGUGUGUGUUGGAUUGGGGAUGGUUAUGCAUGUCAUUACUUAAUGUUCUCUGAACUCCCUGGAUGUUGUUAAGUAAAGAGCAGAGGAUUUCAAAGGAGACUCGGUUUCACAGCCCACAUCUGAUUGAUAAUUACUCCUAUUUCUUUCAAAUCCCUCUUUUUCAUGAAACACAUAUACUGAAAAGACACUAAAACAGGCGAAGGGCACAGGCAUAAACUUUACAAAGCUUAAAACUACUCUGUCUCAGCACAGCUCAUGCUUUACAUGACACCUUAAUCCUACUCAUUUGCUAGAUUCACCCUAACUGUAAACAAAGCUUUGAAAUGAAAGCUUAAAUCCUAGUUGGGAUACAUUAAGUUAACCAAGAAGACACUCUUAAGGCAUUAGUGCAAUGACAAUCACAAUAUGAGUGCCAGAGGCUUGUGCACGGGGGGAUUAAUAUCUGAAGGGAGAAGAAAAGGGGUCUGGUCUCUAUACUUCGCAGCCUCUUUGGCUAACAGCCUGCAGCGAGGGGGCUGUGUGCUGCUUGUGGGGUGCUGGGGCUGCCUGAAGGGGGCCUCGGGGGACCCACAGCUGGAUGCUGCACCCCAACAUCUGGGUAUCUCAGCAUCUGGGUGCUGCCCCCCAGCAUCUGGACCACGGACCAGUUUGGGAUCAUCCACUCUCCCCAAGCCAUGUCUUUUUGCUACCACCUAUGCAAGGUUCCAGUGGGACUGGGGAAGAGCAGGCUCAGCACAGCACUAGGUUUCCAAGCACCAAGUCUGGAGAACUGCAGCACCACCUGCCCGCCCCACCACCAUUUUUCCUUUGCACGGCACCUGGCUCUGCCCUAGGAACCCCCUUGUGCACUGCCAGCCUGUAGCCCCCAGCCUGGAGAAAAGCAGCUUCUUCUCUCCCCUUCCACACCAACGUCACAUUCAAUUCUUACAACAUGCAUAGGAUAAAUGAAGAGGCACAAGUGAGAGCUCCCACCACGGGGACACAAUCCAGCAGCAGGGAACACUGCCUUACUGCCUGGCUAGGCACUGGGGACAGUCCUAUGAAUAAACAGCACCAGGAUGGGCAGUGAAUGCAUUGGGUUUUAAUUGAUGCUGUGCCAAGGGAGGAAAGGUCUGAUCCGAUUUGGGGUGCUAAACAGGGGUAUCACCUGCAAGGGACUCCUGCUGUGCCAAUGGAAAGGUACACUCUGCAGCUCCCCGGUGAUGAAGAGCUCAACUGCAUUCUUCCCACAGCUCAGCAGCACUUAGCUCCCAUUCACUUUUAUUAAAAAAAAAAAACAAAA